UGGGGAGCAAGCUAUCUAGGAGGCGGGGAUGCCCAAGCUUUGACGCACGGUCGCCGCUACUGGAAGUAGCUGUUGUCCGGGCAACCGAAUCGCAAACCUAGCAGCUACAGAGAGAAGAAAGAUGGAAAUUAAUCUGACAGAUUCAGCUCUACCUUGGCCUUCCCUUCAAGGGCUCCGGUGCCUGCAUAUAUUUUACUGAUUGAAUCGCCAUUCACAGACCACAUGGACCGGAAAACUUCUUGAAAGCGUGUCACCAACUGGGGCUUUUCAGCCAAACCCAGGGCAUCCAGCUGUUUAGCUAGCAUCUGAAAGAGCAAACAAGUAUUUUUAAGUUCUUGAAAACUAAGUCCCGCCUAAUGCAAAGAGAAUCCAAACCACCUUAUGACACUGACUUACUGGAUUGGGAAGAAUUGGUAAAACUCAGUGCUGCUCCAGCUUUCUGAAUACCCGAGACUGUCUGUACUAGACUGAACUUACGAAUAAACAGUCAAAUGAGCAUAAAUAAUGUCCACUUGGAUUGGGUUGCAAACUAUCAAAAAUAUAACUCUACAGAAAAAUGUAAAACAUAAAAACAGA